AAAAAUGUGCUCACAAAAAAAUUUCAUACAACAUUUAUGUCUGGGGGAUAUGAAGACAACUAUAUUAUAUCUUGGCAUUAAGCAUGAAGAACUUGGUGGGAAAAGUGAAACUUGAGUGUCGGUUAAGAUGGCAACAACCAUAUUUGUCACCUUAUUAUACAAUAUUGCUUCAGCAAGUCAACCAUCUUUGCUGGUUUCUUUUCAAUGAUGUCUUCUGUUUCGGAAACUGUACUGACACUGAUUGAGCUGGUGUUACUAACUUAGACAAAUUACUUUCGGACUUGGAGGAAAGCUAAAAUGUAAGUUUGUUUUAUAUAAUUUAUUUUGAGUUCUGAUAAUCUUUGUUUUAAUAAUCUGUUGUUGGGUCUAUAGUAGGUUGGACUGUAAUAUAAUGCAUAUUUGUUCCAUUUGGUAGUUUUUACCUCACAGUACUAUAUAGUAUUAAUAUAAAACAGAUCUUACAAAAAUUAUCAACAAUUUUGACAGUUAGACAUUAAGAUUAAACUGUUGUUCAAAAAAAAUAGUAUUUAUUUGUUACAUAACUACAACUAACAAUAAGAUACAACACUA